GGAUUCAUGGCACAAUGGUAGCGCGUCUGAUUCCAGAUCAUAUGGUUGCUUGUCUGAUUCACGUUGGGUUCA
rfam:Capsicum annuum cultivar Zunla-1 unplaced genomic scaffold scaffold3416, whole genome shotgun sequence